rnacentral:rRNA from 1 species
UUUGAAAUCUGGCCCCUUUGGGGUCCGAGUUGUAAUUUGCAGAGGGUGCUUUUGGUGUUGGCCGUGGUCUAAGUUCCUUGGAACAGGACGUCACAGAGGGUGAGAAUCCCGUACGUGGCCGCCGGCCCUCGCCUUGUAAAGCCCCUUCGACGAGUCGAGUUGUUUGGGAAUGCAGCUCUAAAUGGGAGGUAAAUUUCUUCUAAAGCUAAAUACCCGCCAGAGACCGAUAGCGCACAAGUAGAGUGAUCGAAAGAUGAAAAGCACUUUGGAAAGAGAGUGAAAAAGCACGUGAAAUUGUUGAAAGGGAAGCGCUUGCGGCCAGACGUGCCCGCGGUUGUUCAUCUGGGCUCUCGCCCGGUGCACUCCUCCGCGGGCAGGCCAGCAUCAGUUUGGGCGGUCGGACAAAGGUCUCUAUCACGUACCACCCCUCGGGGUGGCCUUAUAGGGGAGACGCAACACGGCCAGCCUGGACUGAGGUUCCGCGCAUCUGCUAGGAUGCUGGCGUAAUGGCAGCAAGCGGCCCGUCUUGAAACACGGACCAAGGAGUCUAACAUCUAUGCGAGUGUUUGGGUGUCAAGCCCGAGCGCGUAAUGAAAGUGAACGGAGGUGGGAACCCCUCGGGGCGCACCAUCGACCGAUCCUGAUGUCUUCGGAUGGAUUUGAGUAAGAGCAUAGCUGUUGGGACCCGAAAGAUGGUGAACUAUGCCUGAAUAGGGUGAAGCCAGAGGAAACUCUGGUGGAGGCUCGCAGCGGUUCUGACGUGCAAAUCGAUCGUCAAAUUUGGGCAUAGGGGCGAAAGACUAAUCGAACCAUCUAGUAGCUGGUUCCUGCCGAAGUUUCCCUCAGGAUAGCAGUAACGUUUUCAGUUUAUGAGG